rnacentral:sRNA from 1 species
AUCGUGCAUCGUGCAUCGUGCAUCUCGCAUACUAGUCGUGUAUUAUGGAAAGCCGUAUCGUGGGUAGUUCUUAGAUAUCGCUCGACGCACAAAACCAGUGGCGGCUGAAUCGCUGGCUGAUUUUUAGCGUGAAGGUGGGGGUCCGUUGUUGACGCCAGCGAAGGACCCCGGAAGCAACAUGCGCAAUCUACACAUGCUAUGGAGUAAUCUGUGCAUUGAAACAAGUUCAACAUCAUGAAGAAUACAAAGGAAAUGAAAAAAAAAAAAAGGAAGCGUAUCCAGACUGUAUCUGUAAGGAUGCCUGUUAUCGGAUUGUGCAGUUUACUCCACUGCCAACAAGCCGUAACUUAAUCGUGCCCCCGCUUAUUCCCAAUUUCAGGUAACUUUUCCAUAGUUAGGUACAGUGCAUGAAAUAUUUAAGGCUAAGGCUAGAUAUAUUCAAAGUGUACAGAUCUGUAGAGAAUAUGCUGAUACAACCCUUUUUGCAAAAAGAAAAAAUCUAAAAUUAUGAAUUAUUAUCUUAGUUUCUAGAAUCUGUACUUGGUCAUCAUCAAUGUUAACAGUCAAAAUAUUGAUUAUAUUGAAGUGGCUGAAUACUAACAUACUCUCUGCACUUAAUUAUAUUCAAUGCUGUGAUGAAGAUAUCCACGUUUCCUUGUGGCUGCACCUAUACAAAUAAUACAAGUAAUCUUUAGUUGCCGGU